UACGUAGGUGGCAAGCGUUGUUCGGAAUUAUUGGGCGUAAAGGGCGCGUAGGCGGCCUGUUAAGUCGGCUGUGAAAGCCCGGGGCUCACCCCCGGAAGUGCAUUGGAAACUGGUGGACUCGAGUCCCGGAGAGGAGGGUGGAGUUCCUGGUGUAGCGGUGAAAUGCGUAGAUAUCAGGAGGAACACCGGUGGCGAAGGCGGCCCUCUGGACGGUGACUGACGCUG
rnacentral:rRNA from 1 species